CUACUCUGGAACGGUAGCUAAUACCGCAUAACGUCGCAAGACCAAAGAGGGGGACCUUCGGGCCUCUUGCCAUCAGAUGUGCCCAGAUGGGAUUAUGCUAGUAGGUGGGGUAACGGCUCACCUAGGCGACGAUCCCUAGCUGGUCUGAUGAUGGAUGACCAGCCACACUGGAACUGAGACACGGUCCAGACUCCUACGGGAGGCAGCAGUGGGGAAUAUUGCACAAUGGGCGCAAGCCUGAUGCAGCCAUGCCGCGUGUAUGAAGAAGGCCUUCGGGUUGUAAAGUACUUUCAGCGGGGAGGAAGGCGAUAAGGUUAAUAACCUUGUCGAUUGACGUUACCCGCAGAAGAAGCACCGGCUAACUCCGUGCCAGCAGCCGCGGUAAUACGGAGGGUGCAAGCGUUAAUCGGAAUUACUGGGCGUAAAGCGCACGCAGGCGGUCUGUCAAGUCGGAUGUGAAAUCCCCGGGCUCAACCUGGGAAACUGCAUUCGAAACUGGCAGGCUGGAAGUCUUGUAGAAGGGGGUAGAAAUUCCAGGUGUAGCGGUGAAAUGCGUAAAAGAUCUGGAAGAAAUACCGGUGGCGAAAGGCGGCCCCUGGACAAAACUGACGCUCAGGUGCGAAAACGUGGGGAGCAAACAGAAUAAAAUACCUGGUAGUCCACGCUGUAAACAAUGUCACUUGGAAGUUGUUCCCUUGAAGAAUGGUUCCGAACUAACCCGUUAAUUCACCCCCUGGGAGUACGNCCCAAGUAAAAUC
rnacentral:rRNA from 1 species